UGUUGACUCACCAAGAGCAAAAAACCUUAAACCCCUAGAUCGCUAAACCCCCAAAUGCGAAAGUGUUGGCGCCGUCAUUGAAGGAUUGCUGGCUCCAUCGUUCAAAGACUGUUGGCUUCCACCGUAACUGCUUGGUCAAUAUUCAUUUUUUGGCUCCCACCGUAAUUGCUUGGUCAAUAUUCAUUUUGAAAUGUCGUUCUUGAAAUGUUGUCUAUGGCCAGGCAUCCUUCGAUUCCGAGAAUAAUUUUUUUUUGGUGUGGGGAGUAUCAUUCUUUGCGUGGCCUACAACUCAUAUAAUUUUGCUUAGUCAGUUGUGUUUUUAUUGAAGUCCAUGUAUGUUUCGUUUCUUGUUGGAUGCUUCUGGUUUGUACGCUUUGGUUUAGAGGAAGCUCACUGGUGUACUAUUAGCUAUGCAUUCUUUUUUUUUUUCUGGUGUUUAUUAUUAUGAUGUUAUUUAGCAUUUAAAUCUACCGCGUAUUAUCAGAAAAGGACAAGCAUUGCAAUUCAACUGGUUAUAUGAGAAAGGUGCCUUUGUCUGGCAUUCUGAAGGCUCAAUUUCUGUUGAUUUUACCAAGAUUGAAAGAGCAGUUGAAAGCCUGAGCAAGGAGAUACUCACCAUUCAAGCCAAAGGUGAUAAAGAGGCUGCUGGUUUACUUCUCCACAAAUACUGUGUAAUGACAGAACCACCAAAAAUUGCUCUCAAAAAGUUGGAAAAUAUUCAGGCAUAGCAGAGGAAGUUCCAAAUGACAUAGAAGAAGAAGAAGAAGAAGAAGAAGAAGAAGACAUACAAUUGACAACAAAUUGUGAGUAGUAACAUGACUGAUGUAGCAAGAGGGAGAGGCAGUGGUAGAGGUAUGAGUAGAGGUAGGGGAAGAGGGAGAGGUAAAGGUACCACCAUUGUGCCACCACCUUUUACUUCUUAGCCAACACAUUCUAUUGGAGAUCCCCACAUUGUACUACACAACCUACACAUGCUUCCACCUCCCAAACACCUACAACUCCCCAAGGUAACCAACCUACACCUACCUCAUGUUACUUCCACUUCCCAACCACAUUUAGUUCCUCAAACUAACCAGUCUAUACCUACCCCUCAUGUUUCUUUGACACAAUCCCCAAAUAUGAUUGAAACACCAUAGACAAAUCCCUCCAUUGAUGUUACUGGUAGUCCAAUUGUUGGAUCAUCAUCCUCUAUUGAUCCAUCUUUAGAAAUUGGAAGUGUAGACUCUAAUGGACGUAUUUGGAUUUGUCCAGGUCCACAAAACACAUUUGACCUACCAAUUCACCCUACUCGUGAAAUUUCAAGAAUAAUCAAAGGGAAGUUUGAAGGGUCAUGGGAAUCAUAUCGAGAGGUUAAAAGCACUAAUGAAAGUGUGGCAAACAUGUGGUUUGAAGAGUUUCAGAGAAAGUUCAAGUGGCUGGCUGAUCAUGAUGCACAAAUAAGAAGAGCAUUUGACCAAAAAGCAUCUGAAGAGUUUUCAAAUGCUAUGUAUAGGGUGUGACGAGGCAUUGAUCUAAGGAGUUGGAUUCCAAAGCAAAAACGUGUAUAACUUGAACAAAAAUGGAAUGAUAAGAACUGGAAAGAAAAGUCAAGGACUAAUACUAAUAAUAGAAAUUCUUCUGAUGGUUCACUGCAUACUGGAGGAUCCAUUCCUACUUCUGAGCAUUUUAAGAGAUUGAAUGAGUAUGAAAGACGGUUAUCUGAAAGAGAGUCACAACAAUCAUCAGGAGAUGCUGCCUCUAGUGUGCAAUCUGAAAAUAGUAUUUUCUAUGAUGUUGUUGGUGGUGUGAACAAUAAAGGAAGAAUAUUUGGUCUAGGUUUAGAGGCUGGGAAGUAUAAACCUUCUUCUUAUAGAUUCUCAUAUGGUAUCUCAAAUUCUGAGUAUGAACAAAUGAAAAAUCUUGUUUCAAAUUUGUCUAAAGAAAACAAAACAUUGAAAGAACAAUUGCAAAGCCAUGCAUAUUUGAUUCAUGCUUCACAGGAAGAGUCUCGGUUGGUUCGUGAGCAACUAAAGUAAUUUAUGGGGACGUUUUCUCUUGGGUUGGCUUCUCAAUCUUCUUGUCCUCCCCAACCUCCUCCUAUACAUGAUGCAAACACUAUACAAUCUGAUGAUAAUGAGUUAGAUGAUGAUCAUGAUAUAAAUGUUUAGGGAUGCAUUAUCUUUUACUAUUAUUAAUAUUUACUAUACUUUAAACUUAUACUUUGUUAUGUUUAAGUUUUACUAUAGUACUUAUCAUACAUUAGG